rnacentral:precursor_RNA from 1 species
UGGAGUCACUGGCAGCCUCAGUGCGUCUCACCAUGUACGUGUCACAAAGCUGCACGAGGCCUGCCCAUGACCCUUC